rnacentral:tRNA from 1 species
GCCUGGGUGGCUCAGUUAGUGGAGUGUCUGACUUCAGCUCAGGUCAUGACCUCAUGGUUCGUAGGUUCGAGCCCCGCGUCGGGCU